UACGAAGGGGGGCUAGCGUUGUUCGGAAUCACUGGGCGUAAAGGGCGCGUAGGCGGCCUGAUAAGUCGGGGGUGAAAGCCUUGUGGCUCAACCACAGAAUUGCCUUCGAUACUGUUAGGCUUGAGACCGGAAGAGGUAAGUGGAACUGCGAGUGUAGAGGUGAAAUUCGUAGAUAUUCGCAAGAACACCAGUGGCGAAGGCGGCUUACUGGUCCGGUUCUGACGCUGAGGCGCGAAAGCGUGGGGAGCAAACAGG
rnacentral:rRNA from 1 species